rnacentral:ncRNA from 2 species
GAGUUGUGACCGGGGUGCCGUGUAUGCGGCUGAGAUAAACCCGUAACACCUGAUCUGGGUUGUGCCAGCGUAGGGAGUUCACUGAUCACGCUUU